rnacentral:lncRNA from 1 species
ACACAAUAGCUCCACAACCUUUAUAAUUCCUCAAAUGCAAAGAGAAGUACAUAUCACCCAACAGAGUAGGCACAUGAUUCCCAAUCAAGAAGAUUCUAAUGGCAUUAACAUCAACAAAACCGUCAAUGUUAGGGAACAAAGCCAAACCAUAGAUGAGAAACACAAAGAUGGCUUCAAAAGCAUCCACACUACCGGCUUGAGCAAAGGAAAUAGCUUUCCCAAUGAGAAACCCAGAAGUCAACCCAAACAUUCCUCCUUUCUUCACCCAAUGAGCC